ensembl:miRNA MIR4483 microRNA 4483
AAAAAACAACAUACUUAGUGCAUACCCAUAUAAUAUUAGGGGUGGUCUGUUGUUGUUUUUCU